AGACCCUCCUACCUUCUGCCACAGCAGGCUCCCGUGACCAUCGGAGUGGGAAAGCCUCAGCCUGAAGCACUAGAUGGAGCCAUUCUCAGUCCUGGUUCUCAAAAACUCUGUAAGGCAAUUGUAUGUGUGCUUUUUAGUUACUGCUUUAUCUACAAGGACUUUGUUAAGCCCCAGGAAAUUUUGUGAAGACACUGCGCUCACCCUUCCACGUGGGGGCGCUGUCGUAAAGCAACACAGCCUAUGAAUCCCUCCUCCUAUGGCAAAGGCGGAACACUUCCAUCCCGGCCCCUCAAGCUGGGACUCAGACAUCAUCAAGUUGUCACUGGACACUUGAGUUAAGUACUUUAACCUUCUUAAAUAUACAAUUCAAUUUUCAUGAAUAGUGAGAUUUGUCACAAUAUCCCAUUCAUAUCCUGUUGAGCAGAUUGAGUACCUCGCAUGACAUGUUAAUUGCUUUGAUUUUUGACAGCUAAAAAUCACACAGUGGCAUAUGCUUUCAAAGGAGUACUUGCGAUUCAAAAUUUUCCAAUUUAUAUUCGUUUUAUUAGCAUUGUAUAAAAAUAUCACAAGCAAGCCUUUCCCUUAACUUUCUCAAUUGUGAUCAACAAAGGUUAACGUUAGAAAAAAAAAUGAGGUUUCCACACAUAGCAGUUUCCUGCUGGUGAAAAAGGAAUGACUCUCAAUUUGCCCCCUCUGUUGUGGUGAGAACUGCAAGGUUAUGAAUGAAUAUCUUGUGGUCCUGUUAGCCAAGGAUUACUUAAAUAUUUCAUUUUGAAAAGAAAAAAGUUCUUACCAAGAAUAAUUGAGAGCUUGAGUUCCAAAAGGUACCCGAUCAAUAACUGUAAAUGUACAAUUUAAUCAGAACAAAUGGCAGCUCCCAGGUCUACCAUCCAAUGGUGCUGAUUUUAUUUUGUAAUUUUUAUUGACACAAAGGAUAAAAAUCAGUAGGCACAGGGGGCAGCUGAGCUGGUUUGAUUCUGUCUCUUAUCUCUGACACAGAGGGCUUCACCCUGGAAGAAACCACUCCGCUCAGUGCCCAGUGAGAAUAAAAUGCUGGACCUCUCACCUACCAGGCAACCCUGGUUGAUUCUCUGGCUGCUCCCUGGGCGGGGCCCCUCUCAAUACAGACAGAAACCAAUUGGUUUCUGGUUAGGAGGCUCCCAGUAGCUGGGGGGAGGGAGAGUGGACAGAAAACUCAGGACAGGAACACCCAACUGUUCUGAGUGCUUUGGGCUUUGGUUCAGAUCUCGGUGAGGCUCAGUGAGGCAAGGAACGGGUCCCAGUGGGGUUACCCAAAUGCUGUGUAGCUUGCCGCACAGGCCUCCAGCUUCCUGCUCUCUUGCAGUAGGAGCACAGAUCAGGUUGCUGUACACGGCCCUGAGGAGCACCAUCAACUUAGCACCCAUUUUGAGGUGUUCCUUUCCUUGCCCCCAUCCACAGGCUCCUCCAUGGGGUCCAGCACUCAGUGCCCUUCCUCUUUCUGGAAUGUAUAUGUGUGCCCCAGACCCUAGAUAGGACCCAGUUGGUGAUGUUGAUGCCUCUCAUUGCAUGGUCGUCAUCAGGGAAUGAAGGAAAUCUAAAAGGCUCUGAUUGAAACAAAUAUACUGCAAGUGGAAAAAGGUGACAGAUUUACUUUUUCAUGCCUUUUAAUUAAAAAGAAAAAUCUGAGGCAGCUUAUCAGUUACUUGUCCUGUUGCUGAGAUUAAAAUUCCUCCCACAAAACCAAUUUAAACUGCUAUCUGUCCAACGCUAGCAUCAGCCUGUCACCUAGUCGCACUGCCUUGCUACUGAACAUUGUUCUAUGGUUAGAUUAUACAUACAUAUGUAUAUAAUUUAAAGCAACUUAAGAGACUUUGGCUCACAAUUGAGGGUGGGAUGUGACAGUGGCAGGAAUGCAAGGCCCUGGUCACACGGCGUCCACACUCGGUAACAGUGGGAGAACACUGAUGCUCAGCCCAAUUCCUCCUCUUUAUUCACCCAUGGGACAUGCUCUCCCAGUUAGGCUGGGUCUUUCUACUUCAAUUAAUCUAAUCUAGACAACCCCUCAAAGGCAUGUCCAGGGGCUGUCUCCUAUGUGAGCUUAGGUCCUGUCUGCCAUUUCUUGAGCCCUUUCUAUUUUUAAUAAAACCUUAACUCUGCUUCCCACUGACUAUCCCCGAAAUCCUUUUGUUUCAAAGCAGCAGACCUCACUUUGCAGCACAGUUCCUAACAGAACCAGGAAAGUCUUCAGGCCACUGAAGAUGAUAGCAUGGAGCGGUGCAUUUGUCCUUGUAGCAGUCAAGACUAUCAGAAGCCACCAAAUCUCCUCCUGACCAACACAAUCACAAAGCCUGUGAGGACAGCCACCAGCAAAGUGGUGUCGACAUGCAAAACAUCAAAAAAUCUUAAUGAAAAUUUAAAGAUGUGAGUUAUGGGGAUAUGCUGGGUACUCACACUCAAAAGGACCCAGGUUCAUUUCCCAGAACCCACGUGGCAGCUCAUGACUGUAACUCCAGUUCCAGGGGAUCCCACACAGACGCACAGGUAAGCAAAACACCAAUGCACAUAAAAUUAAAAGUAAGUCAAAGAAUAAAAAAAAAAUUAAAUUUAUGUGUGUUUGUGUGCACAUGUGCUAGAAGAGGAACUCAGAUUCCCUGGUGCUGGCACUGCAGGCUGUGAGCUGCCUGAUGUGGGUGCUGAGAAUCAUCAAACUCUGAGCAGCGCAAGGGCGUCAGGUGCUCUCAGUCACUGAGCCAUCUCUCUAGCCCUGGUUUUUACUUUUUAAAAUAUUUUCUUGAUGCCAUCCCGAGAUUUUCAACCACGUAAUUUUAAGUCACAUCUAAGUCAUGUUGGGAAGAGUUCAGCUCAGCAGAGUUAACUGGGGAUGAUAGAGGGUGUUCAGGAUAGCAAGCCAGGAAAGAACCAGAACACAGAAUGGUUUCCAUUUGAGCAGAGUUUUAAAGACACUGUUCCAAUCUGGGCAGAGAUGGUGCAUGCCUUUAAUACUGGCACUCAGGAGGCAGAGACAGGCAGAUCUCUGAGUUCAAGACCAGCCUGGUCUACAAAGUAAGUUCCAUGACAACCAAGGCUACACAGAGAAACUGCCUUU
ensembl:lincRNA